AGCGAACGCUGGCGGCAGGCCUAACACAUGCAAGUCGAUCGAACUCUUCGGAGUUAGUGGCGGACGGGUGAGUAACACGUGGGAACGUGCCUUUAGGUUCGGAAUAACUCAGGGAAACUUGUGCUAAUACCGAAUGUGCCCUUCGGGGGAAAGAUUUAUCGCCUUUAGAGCGGCCCGCGUCUGAUUAGCUAGUUGGUGAGGUAAAGGCUCACCAAGGCGACGAUCAGUAGCUGGUCUGAGAGGAUGAUCAGCCACAUUGGGACUGAGACACGGCCCAAACUCCUACGGGAGGCAGCAGUGGGGAAUCUUGCGCAAUGGGCGAAAGCCUGACGCAGCCAUGCCGCGUGAAUGAUGAAGGUCUUAGGAUUGUAAAAUUCUUUCACCGGGGACGAUAAUGACGGUACCCGGAGAAGAAGCCCCGGCUAACUUCGUG
rnacentral:rRNA from 1 species